UCGAGGAUCAUUCGCAAUGAGCGAAAGCUUGACGAUGCGACACUGCGUGAACGAUGAAGGCCUUCGGGUUGUAAAGUUCUUUCGCGCUUGAACAAGGGAGGUUAGUGAAUAACUAGCUGACUUGAGGGUAAAGCGUAAAGAAGCACCGGCUAACUCCGUGCCAGCAGCUGCGGUAAUACGGAGGGUGCAAGCGUUAAUCGGAAUUAUUGGGCGUAAAGGGCGCGUAGGCGGAUUUUUAAGUCUGGUGUGAAAUACCGUGGCUCAACCACGGUGCUGCAUCGGAAACUGAGAGUCUUGAGGGUAGGCGGAGAAAACGGAAUUCCAAGUGUAGCGGUGAAAUGCGUAGAUAUUUGGAAGAACACCUGUGGCGAAAGCGGUUUUCUAGCUUAUUCCUGACGCU
rnacentral:rRNA from 1 species